rnacentral:misc_RNA from 1 species
UGGCUCUGGCAUNGAUGAAGAACGCAGCGAAAUGCGAUAAUUAAUGUGAAUUGCAGAAUUUAGUGAAUCAUCGAAUCUUUGAACGCACAUUGCGCCCCUUGGUAUUCCGGGGGGCAUGCCUGUUCGAGCGUCAUUUCAACCCUCAAGCGCAGCUUGGUCUUGGGCCACGCCGGCAACGGCGGGCCUCAAACACGAUGGCGGCGCCGUCGGGUCCCUCAGCGUAGUACGUCUUCUCGCUGCUGGGCCCCGGCGGGCGCUGGCCAGCAACCCCCCCAAGCCUCCACGGUUGACCUCGGAUCAGGUAGGGAUACCCGCUGA